UCUGCGUCCGUCCGUCGGUCCGCUUCGGCUCCUGCGACCGCAACUUCCCUCCACCUACCGCGACUUCCCCUGCAACCACGCCCCGCAAUCACCAAUGUCGCCGCAAUCUCUGCCUGCCCCCUGCACUCACGCGAGCACUUUCCCAUCUCGUUUUCACCCUGCGUCGCACCUAUGCCCCAGCCACAUCGCCGCGACACUGCGACCGCGCCCGCAUCCCGCCGCCGGUGGCCCACGUCCAGCUGCUGCACUCGGUGGCCUUCGCUUCGCCCCGAGGCACCACCGUCGUGCGCAACCGUGCCGGGCCAGCCGUCACACGACCUGUCGGCCCUCCUCCCUCACCCCUAUGGGCGGGUUCCACCCUCGAUCCGUCGACGGAGGUGCCCAUCCUGAAGGUCCAUGUCACCAUCCGCACCACCCCGACUCCCACAGCCUGUGCCUCUGAUGACGCCGAGUCCGACGGCCACAACCUCCGCCUCCGAUGAUACCGAUCCUGAUGCCCACGGCCAUGACCACUGUUGCACUCACACCAUCCCCGUCCACCUCCCUCAGCCUAGCAUCGGCCCCGCAUCCCUCGACGACCACAGGGUUCGGGUCUGACUCUGUGCGCCACUGGUGCCCUUCACACCCGCUGCGCCUAAGUGACACGAGGGCGAGUGUUAUGUGGCUCGACAUGCUCUGCACUGUUCGUCCUCUGCCUUCAUGUGUUCUGUGCUCACCAACUGUUUGUGAAAAUGCCUACAAAACAGUCAUGCGGGUACGGGGGAUGCAAGAAGUGACAACGAGCACCAUUGACUAUAUAUUCAGACCGCAUGACUAUUUCGUGGCUGUGCUUGUUUGAAAUAAAGCAUUCUUGCUUCUUGGGGCAAACAAAGUGAAGGAGUGUCAUUUUCCCUUGCAAGUUCACUGUGCGUGUUAAAGCUGCCCUGUCAUUCUGGUAUUUCAGAAGCGGGCACUACUGAUGUACAUUUCAUUUAGCUUUACUUGAUGUGCUUUGUGCUUACAUAGAGUAUUUGCUUUAAAUUUUUUUUAGAAUCUUUGCAGAAUUAAUUUCCUGGUUGUCUUGUUUUGGAGCUCUGAAUGUAGAUAAUUGGUGCACUCAUUGCCACACGGAUACCCAGUUAAGUAUAUUUCUUUCUUUAUUUUUCAUCAUAGCUUGAUGUCUCAAAUAGCAGGUAAUUAUACAUAUAUAUCCUUCCAAAGUUAGAUGUAUCAUACAUGGAAUAAUGUAAUAAGAAUAAGGGUUUUUUAGUUGACCAUGAAUUCGGUUUCGCAUUUUUUAUGGAAAUAUAAAUCUUCUAUAAAAAUGCAGACAUUUGGUUGCUUGGUCUAUUGUUUUAUCUACAACAAACUUAUUGAGCAUUGAUGCAAAAUGGUUAUGAACAAUGAUGUGAAUCAUGUGAUGCAGCACACCAUGCUAUGUUUUAAGUGAUCAGAGCUUCGUUUGUAUUUAUCUAUUUUUACAUGGAAUGACAUAUUUAAAUUGUCAAUAACAACCCUCUCAGGUUUAUUUCUAGCUGACUCUGAACAUUAGAGUAGAACAAGGUGCUUAUUCAAAAAAGUGUGAAUUGCAUGGAGAUGGGAAUGACUCCAGAACUAAUGUAUGGAAAAAUGUUUUUGUCCCGGCUACUGCAAAUCCCUACCAAUAUGGUUAUGCAGAAGUUGGAUCACCGAUGGAUUAGUAUAACCACCUGAGCUCUUUAGUGGAAUGUUUAUUAGGAUUGCUUUGGGCAGGGCACUCAUAGUUCAUUUUAAAACGCCUUUAUCAAGGAAUCUAAGUUUUGGAAGUUGAGGAUCUCAGGUUUGCUUUCUUGGUUGAAGCUUUAGAAGUCAGUUGGUGUCUUUCAGUGGCUGCAGAAACAUUGUUUACCCUCUUAGUCUUGUUUCAUUUCUUUUAGCGGGGUCUGUAGAGCUUCAUAGCUCUUUUAGUUUCUUGCUUGGUUUCAGCCACUGAACUACUUAGCUGGUGUCCCAGGCCUUUUUUUCACUUUUUUUGUUUUUUGUUUUUCUUUCCCUGUAUCGAACAUGAUGGGUAAUGUAUUUAUUUUAGGAACAUAUAGAUGUGAUGCUUGAUUAUAGGAAAGGCUUGCAGCUCCUUUAGAGAGCUAACCA